rnacentral:rRNA from 1 species
GAUGAACGCUGGCGGCGUGCCUAAUACAUGCAAGUCGAACGAAGAUGUCUUCGGACAUCUUAGUGGCGAACGGGUGAGUAAUACGUAAGCAACCUGCCCACAAGGACCGGGAUAACUGCUGGAAACGGUAGCUAAGACCGGAUAGGUAUACUGAAGGCAUCUUUGGUAUAUUAAAGGUUAGAAACACAAGUGGAUGGGCUUACGGCGCAUUAGCUAGUUGGUGAGGUAACGGCCCACCAAGGCGAUGAUGCGUAGCCGGCCUGAGAGGGUGAACGGCCACAUUGGGACUGAGACACGGCCCAGACUCCUACGGGAGGCAGCAGUAGGGAAUUUUCGGCAAUGGGCGCAAGCCUGACCGAGCAACGCCGCGUGAGUGAAGACGGCC